rnacentral:rRNA from 1 species
CCUACGGGUGGCAGCAGUGAGGAAUAUUGGUCAAUGGGCGAGAGCCUGAACCAGCCAAGUCGCGUGAGGGAGUACUGCCCUAUGGGUUGUAAACCUCUUUUGUCGGGGAGCAAAAGCCGGACGUGUCCGGCUGUGAGAGUACCCGAAGAAAAAGCAUCGGCUAACUCCGUGCCAGCAGCCGCGGUAAUACGGAGGAUGCGAGCGUUAUCCGGAUUUAUUGGGUUUAAAGGGUGCGCAGGCGGAUUUUUAAGUCAGCGGUAAAAUCGUGGGGCUCAACCCCAUCCAGCCGGUGAAACUGGGGAUCUAGAGUGUGCGAGAGGUAUGCGGAAUGCGUGGUGUAGCGGUGAAAUGCAUAGAUAUCACGCAGAACCCCGAUUGCGAAGGCAGCAUACCGGUGCACAACUGACGCUCAGGCACGAAAGCGUGGGUAUCGAACAGGAUUAGAUACCCCGGUAGUC